CCUACGGGAGGCUGCAGUGAGGAAUAUUGGUCAAUGGGCGCGAGCCUGAACCAGCCAAGUAGCGUGAAGGAUGACUGCCCUACGGGUUGUAAACUUCUUUUAUAAAGGAAUAAAGUGAGGCACGUGUGCCUUUUUGUAUGUACUUUAUGAAUAAGGAACGGCUUACUCCGUGCCAGCAGCCGCGGUAAUACGGAGGAUCCGAGCGUUAUCCGGAUUUAUUGGGUUUAAAGGGAGCGUAGAUGGGUUGUUAAGUCAGUUGUUAAAGUUUGCGGCUUAACCGUAAAAUUGCAAUUGAUACUGGCAGUCUUGAGUACAGUUGAGGUAGGCGGAAUUCGUGGUGUAGCGGUGAAAUGCGUAGAUAUCACGAAGAACCCCGAUUGCGAAGGCAGCUUACUAAACUGUGACUGACAUUGAUGCUCGAAAGUGUGGGUAUCAAACAGGAUUAGAUACCCCUGUAGUC
rnacentral:rRNA from 1 species